rnacentral:rRNA from 1 species
CCUACGGGAGGCAGCAGUGGGGAAUUUUGGACAAUGGGCGCAAGCCUGAUCCAGCAAUGCCGCGUGAGUGAAGAAGGCCUUCGGGUUGUAAAGCUCUUUUGUCAGGGAAGAAACGGUAGGGGCUAAUAUCCUUUACUAAUGACGGUACCUGAAGAAUAAGCACCGGCUAACUACGUGCCAGCAGCCGCGGUAAUACGUAGGGUGCAAGCGUUAAUCGGAAUUACUGGGCGUAAAGCGUGCGCAGGCGGUUUUGUAAGUCUGUCGUGAAAGCCCCGGGCUCAACCUGGGAAUUGCGAUGGAGACUGCAAGGCUUGAAUCUGGCAGAGGGGGGUUAGAAUUCCACGUGUAGCAGUGAAAUGCGUAGAGAUGUGGAGGAACACCGGAUGGCGAAGGCAGCCCCCUGGGUCAAGAUUGACGCUCAUGCACGAAAGCGUGGGGAGCAAACAGGAUUAGAUACCCUGGUAGUCCACGCCCUAAACGGAUGUCUACUAGUUGUCGGUUUUAACUUAACGUUGGUAACGNAGCUACGCGUGAGUAGACCGCCGUCGGGUAGGUACGGUACGCGAGAAGUUAAACGUUAACGAAGUAGUAGACGNGUAGAGAGCGACGACGACGACGAGGAGGAGGAG